UACGUAGGCAGCAAGCGUUGUUCGGAAUUACUGGGCGUAAAGAGUGUGUAGGCGGUGUUCUAAGUCUGGUGUGAAAUCUCCCGGCUCAACUGGGAGGGUGCGCUAGAAACUGGAAUGCUAGAGGAUGGGAGAGGUAAGCGGAAUUCCUGGUGUAGCGGUGAAAUGCGUAGAUAUCAGGAGGAACACCGGUGGCGAAGGCGGGUCUCUGGGCCGAUACUGACGCUGAGGAGCGAAAGCGUGGGGAGCGAACAGG
rnacentral:rRNA from 1 species